rnacentral:piRNA from 1 species
GGAAAGAGAUGCAGCCCUCACAC